CCUACGGGAGGCUGCAGUGAGGAAUAUUGGUCAAUGGGCGGAAGCCUGAACCAGCCAAGUAGCGUGAAGGAUGACUGCCCUACGGGUUGUAAACUUCUUUUGUCAAGGAAUAAAAUGAGGCACGUGUGCCUUUUUGUAUGUAUUUUAUGAAUAAGGAUCGGCUAACUCCGUGCCAGCAGCCGCGGUAAUACGGAGGAUUCGAGCGUUAUCCGGAUUUAUUGGGUUUAAAGGGAGCGUAGAUGGGUUGUUAAGUCAGUUGUGAAAGUUUGCGGCUCAACCGUAAAAUUGCAAUUGAUACUGGCAGCCUUGAGUAGAGUUGAGGUAGGCGGAAUUCGUGGUGUAGCGGUGAAAUGCUUAGAUAUUACGAAGAACUCCGAUUGCGAAGGCAGCCUACUAACC
rnacentral:rRNA from 1 species